UUAGGUGCUUAUGAUUAUCUGCACAUGUUGGAAUAGAUUUUUUGAAAAUUACGUUUUUUUUUUUGCUAGCCUUCAAAAUGAAACAUAUUUAGGCUUAUGUGUAGGCUUUAAUAGAAUAAGAUUCUAAUGGGAAUAUUGAUGUUUCAGCUGUAGAAUAUGGAUAUAAAUAGUGAUUGGGUCAUUUUGCAGGAAACACUGUCCAUCCAUCCAUCCCAAUGGCACUACAGCCCAUGGAGGGCUUUAGCUGGCUUCAACACAUCCCUCCAUUCAGAUCUCUCCUUCGCCUUUUAUCUCUGUCACUAUCUGUGGGUCUUCAUACAAUUGAUAUAUCUCAUGAAUAGAGAUGUAAUUCUGCUGUGUCCCCGUGAGUUGGAAACCAGUAAGCAAGUCUUCUAAUAGAGGUCUGAUAGAGUCAUGUACAUCAAGCGAUCAGCACUAAAAGAUGUGGACCUGAUGUGGUGUCAAGCUGAUGAAGCUUUUGCUUUCUUCUUUUGGCUGUUCGUUUAACACAAGACAAAGCACAGACUGAUCGUCAUACCAUUUUAAGAUCCUGGGAUGUGAAAGACUUUGCACCGGACUGUCGUCAGUAUCUUUACCUCUUCCAUGCCGGCAAUAAAAUACAUCUGAAACUUGUUGAUCAUAUUGUGCGUAAAGAUGGGUUAGGUUAGAUGAGUUCAGCUUUGCCUUGUUAGCCAACAACUGUCUGUAUCCUGGACUGUCCACACUUGUAUUAUUGCUGGUACACUUUCAGCAGUGAGCCAUGACAGCAGACGUAUAGAAGGCAUGCUGGGAAUGAAAUUCAUCACAUACAGCUGCAAAAAAGUAUUUUCAUUGGUAAUUAUGUGGGCUGCACAAGCCUCAGCUGAUGCUCACCAAAGCUCUUGGAAAUCCUAUGCCGAACUGGGAGUCGAACACUUAGUGAGGUUGUGACUGAACGUCGCAUGAGGUUUGCGGGACAUGUUCUACGUCAAAAUGAAUUACGCACACCAAGAGUUGCGAUAACAUGGAAGCCAAAACAAGGAAAGCGCAAACACGGACGUCCUCGUAUUACCUGGCGACACACCUUCAUGGAGGACCUCAGAACAGUGGACACCAGGUGGGAGGAGGCUUCAGACAUUACCAGUGACAGAUCAUUAUGGAGACAGCUUGCCGCUCAAUGCGCCGAACGGCGCCGGAGGACCUAUGUCUAAAAUGUUGAGUCAGAUAUUGAAGCCAGAGCUUUGUAUCUAAGUCAAAGACCACUAGUAUUUGACAGUGUUUACAGAGGACAAGAUGUCCCAGCUCAGUCCAAAAUUCAUAAAGACUGUGUCUCAGCGAAGCAUAAGAGUUGGUCUUGGAUUCAAACAGUCAAUGAAUGUUUAGGCAUUCAUAGUGAAAAUACUGCUAACUAUCAUCAGCUCUACCAUGAUGUUUGCCACCUGGAAGAAGACAUGCUUUCAUUCUUGCUUUGGAUGGACAGUUCAACAGUCAGAGCUCAAGUCAAGACUCAAGAUCCUGAUGUCAUGUUAAAACAUUUCAGAUUAAUAAACAAUUGUUGGACUAUCAGGGCUAGUUAGAUCUUCUCACAGAGCGAAGUUGAGAUAUUCACCCAGUUCAUCACCGCCAAGAACUGCCAGAAUGGCAUUUGAAGGCUAGAGCUCUUGUCCAAUAUCAGCACAAACAUGUGUCAUUAGCAAAAGGGGACUUUGUCAAGAUUUUGGAAAAUUUUGAUGCUGAAAGAUGGAAGAUGGAAUAGAAAGUGAAGUCCCUGCUAUUGUGUUGGUCAUUCCUUCCUGCUUCCAACAGAUUGAUAAAUUAGGAGAACAAAUCAAGGUCAAUAGUUCUAUUGAUUGCUGCUGAUAAAUGGUCACAUUUAAUCCAGUUUUUAAGUGCUGCUAUUUCCCAGACACAGUCCAAAGAUUUAUGUUUUUCCUGCUGAAGAUGAUGAAUGAGGCAGCAGACAUCUUGAAAGGAGCUGAUUUCGAGUUCCUUCAACAGUCUUUUCAUUUUAUUUAGGAAGAAGCUCAUCAGUCACUUCAAACCAGGCAACUUCAAAACUACUUUGUCAACUAUCCAGAGAUUCAGGGGAAUGAAAUCUUAGACUAUUUAUAAUUAAGAUGUUCCUUCAGAGUUGAAAACAACUACAUUCUAGCUUGAACGUCCCACAAGAAGAUGUGGGGUGGCAGCAGGCAGGGGUCUAACCUAGGAUCAUGGAGACCACUAAACGAUAGUCCAGAGUGUAUAUGAUUGAUUGAGUAGACAAAGAAGGGAUGGAUUACUGGAGCUAAGAGAAGGCAUAAUUUAACAAUAGACUACUUUGGGAUAUGGAAUGAGAGAGGCUAUAGUGUUGAUUAUAUAAAUAUGUAGGUCUCAGCUGGGGCUGCACAGCCACGGAAAAUACUGCAUUCCUAACUUAUCUUGGGACUUAUUAUAAAGCUGCCAUUAUCCAAGGACAUAUGAUUCUCUGGAGGCUUACAUCACUGGAAAAAGUCUUUGGGCCCCUGAAGAUUACAGUACAUGUAAUGCUGCAAAAGGAGGAGGAUGCUGGGCCAGGCACAUACAACUCAAUUUACUUCUAUUGGCUGGAAAUAUUUAAAGCAUGACAGUGGCGUAGGUAAAUUACCAAAUAGUGGAUCUUAUGUUGGAUUGAUCAGCCCUGAUGAACUGACCUGACCAUUGUAAUUGAAACCAUAACUCAUGACCACUCUAUCUGUAUAGGUCCUGGUAUACCCUGGGAUGAUGUUCACCCACAACUUUUAACUUGAAAUCUUAAAGGAAGUUUUGCUAAACUAACAAGCAUGAAUGUCUGGUACAGUAAGAUAGGGUUAAUGGUCAACCUGACAUUAUGGUUCAUUCAUUGGGACAGCUAAUGUUUGUGUCUGAUCAAGCAGUUCUCAAGUUAGGGCUUGAUGAAGUCUACAAACUGACCAUUAUAUCUACUGGACAAAAAAGGAUCUUAUAUGUAUAUUUUAAACCUGGUCAAUGCCUAUUUCUCCACUAUUGUCGACAUCUUGAGAUUUAGCACGGCGUGACAUCACCAUCGGCAGAAACCGAAGACGGCUGAUACAUUUGUGUGGGUGAAAAACUGAAGGCGUCGCUCAAAGACAGCUGAUACAUUUGUGUGGGUGAAAAACUCAAGGCUUCGCUCGAAGACAGCUGAUACAUUUGUGUGGGUGUAAAAUUCAAGGCGUCGCCUGAAGACAGAUGAUACAUCGUUUCCACGUGAGCGCUCGUCACCAACUUUUGACACGCUCUUGCAUUGUCGAGGUUUCACCUUACAUUGCUAUACAGAAGGUCCUCCAUUUAGACCUCUGUUCACUUAUGGUCAUUCUAAUUUUUCAGAGACUUUACAUAUUUGGAUUAUCUAAGCUGAAGUUCUCCACUUAAGUACUGUUGGAUUAUUUAUACGAAUGUUCAAGUACUUUUGGAUUAUUGAUCUUUGACGUUGAAGUUGGACUAACUUGUACCUAUUGGCGCUCUCCUAGUCAUCGUUGUACGCCGAAGAAAUAACACAUGCCUGCAUUACUACACUUACAUUUUGGAUUAUCUGUUGGACUUGUGUUAAUUGUAAAGGUCAAGAGGAAAUAUUUUUUGACAUUACUUGAGCAUUUGAGCCAUCUUAUGGCAUAUGACUGGAUUAUUUUACUACUACUUUGAUGCUCACAUUGAUGU